GUUUUUUUGAAACUAUAGUAUUCCACCAUAAACUACAGUUUUUCACCAAACACUAUAGCUUUUCUCAAAAAAACUAUAGUUUAAUUUUGGCUGACAUGAUUUGCCACAAGGUUUAUGAAUUUUUAAUGAGUAUUUUAAAUAUAUUUCAUAUAUUCUUACAACUGAAGAGUUACUUUAGUCUUGAAGAACGAGGAAUGUACAUAUAUAUUUGAGAUCACGCACUAUAAUUACAGUGUUAAAUAUUUUGCGUGAUUUAAUAUAAUUCCAGCGAGUCCCUACUGUCUGUACUGAGCAUCAGUAUACUAUUGAACAUGUAGAUAUAUCAUAUAUUCAAACAACUAAAUAGUUAGUUUAGUCUUGAAGAACGAGGAAUGAACAUAAAUAUUUAAUAUGAAUGAACAUAUAUAUAGGCUAUAUAUUUGAGAUGAAGGUUCAUAAUCAGAUACAAUGACAAUUACGGUGUAACAUUUGCCUAGUGAUUUAAUAAUUCCAGCGAGUCCUUACUCAGUAUCAGUUGUGCCGGCCUAUACAGUAUUUAUAUGUGUACUAAAGUGUCUUUUAAAGAACGUGGCAAACUCAUGAAGUACAUAACAUUUACAUUCAUGAGUUUAUAGUGUACAUUUUGAAUCACUGCGCAUUUAUAUGUGUGCAUGUGAGCGUGUCUUUUAAAGCUGGAGGCAAACUCAUGAAAUACUCAUAACAUUUAUAUUUACAAGUAUCUAUAGUGUGCAUUUUAAAUAACUGCGCAUUUGUGUGUGUGCGAGGCUGUCUUUUAAGGAACGAGGCAAACUCAUGAAAUACAUAACAUCUAUAUUUAUGAGUGUAUUAUUAUAAGUGUAUAUAGUGUGCAUUUUAAAUUAACUGCGUGUGUAUAUCUUGAGACACAUAAUAUUCAUGAGCGUAGUGUGUAAGGUGAGUCAUUUAAAGAACGAAGAAAAUACGUGGUAUACUGCGCAUUUAUAUGUAAUGUGAGCGUGUCUUUAAAGAACGAGGCAAACUCAUGAAAUAUAUAACAUUUAUAUUUAUAUUUAUAAGUGUGUAUAGUGUGCAUUGUAAAUAACUGCACAUUUAUAUGUGUGUGAGCGUGUCUUCUAAAGAACGAAACAAACUCGUGAAAUACAUACCAUUUAUAUUUUUAUAAGUGUAUAUAUUGUGCAUUUUAAAUAACUGCGUGUUUAUGUAUUGAGACACAUAAUAUUCGUGAGCGUAGUGUGCAAGUGAGUCGUUUAAAGAACGAAGCAAAUAGUUUACGUGGUAUGUAAACUAUAAAAUUAUUACAUACAGUAAUGUUUUAGUUAUCAUUAACGCGCUAUUAUACGUUGAAUUAGAUUUUUAAAGAACGAGACAUGAACAUGUAUAUAUUUCAGAUAUUCAUACAACUGAUGAGUUACUUUUGUC